UCCUCUAUAGCUCAGUGGUUAGAGCAUCCAACCGACACUUGGAAGGUCAUGGGUUCGAUUCCCGUUGGGGAGCUCAGAA
rnacentral:tRNA from 1 species